rnacentral:rRNA from 1 species
UGUUGCAGUUAAAAGCUCGUAGUUGGAUCUAGGGACGCGCAUUUCAAGCGUCCGCACUAUCGGGUCAAACCGGUAGUGCGUGGCGUUGCGGGCUCGGUCCGUUGGUGCCUACUAAAGCAUCAGCGUGUCAACCGGCCCGCCCGUCCCCUCCUUCUGGAUUCCCGUUCCUGCUAUUGAGUUAGUGGGGACGUCACAGGGGGUCCAUCGUCGGUCAGCAAUGGCCGGCGGUGGAUCCCUGGGGCCCAGAUCGUUUACCGUGAAAAAAUUAGAGUGUUCAAAGCAGGCAGAUCCAAUUUUCUGCCACCGAAUACAUUAGCAUGGGAUAAUGGAAUAGGACCCUGUCCUCCUAUUUUCAGUUGGUUUUGGCACGCGAGGACCAGGGUAAUGAUUAAUAGGGAUAGUUGGGGGCAUUAAUAUUUAAUUGUCAGAGGUGAAAUUCUUGGAUUUAUGAAAGAUUAACUUCUGCGAAAGCAUCUGCCAAGGAUGUUUUCAUUAAUCAAGAACGAAAGUUAGGGGAUCGAAGACGAUCAGAUACCGUCGUAGUCUUAACCAUAAACGAUGCCGACCAGCGAUUAGGAGACGUUGAAUACAAAACACCACCAUCGGUGCGGUCGUCCUUGGCGCGUCGCGGCUUGCCGUGGCGUGCGAGGGCGGUUUAGCCUGAUGGCAUCGGUGAAUGACUCCCCUAGCAGCUUGUGAGAAAUCAUAAGUCUUUGGGUUCCGGGGGGGAGUAUGGUCGCAAGGCUGAAACUUAAAGGAAUUGACGGAAGGGCACACCAGGAGUGG